GGGCGAGUGGCGAAAUGGUAAACGCAGCGGCCUUAAAAGUCGCCGCCCGUCCGGGCCUGUGGGUUCGAAUCCCACCUCGCUCA
rnacentral:tRNA from 1 species